GUGACACUUCCUACGGCUCCCAUGGGCUCUCAGAAGGCGGCAAAAAGCUGAAUGAUAUCGAGGCAGCCUCUGGCUGAAAAACAUUAGCGCGUUUGGAUAGUGGCCAGUCACAGUACUAUGAGACUCAGGCUCAUGCACGAGGGGAUCCCAUGCUUUUAUUUUCUCUUUCUUUGUACGUAUACACGCUUUCCUGGUCGGAAUAUUAUCGCUUUUUUACGAGACAAAUGGCAUAAAAAUUGAUUUUAAACAGCGGUUGACAUGCUUCGAAGUACGGUAAUGGAAUAUUUAGAAUUUCUUUGUCACGAAAUGUGUCGUGCGCAUGACCCUUAUUUACACUUCGGAUAGUGUCUUGAACGCACGAACAAAACGCCGUUAUUUGGAUAUAACUAUGGAUUAUUUGGGACCAAACCAACAUUUGUUAUUGAAGUAGCAGUCCUGGGAGUGCAUUCUGACGAAGAACACCAAAGACCUGUGAAAUCCUCAGCAACAUAGCAGAACAUUGUGAUUGUGAACACACCCCGACUCUGAGGAGAGUGGGCUGGCCCAGGCCGAAGCUGCUCCCAGUAUAAUUACAGGUGACAGUUGGGUCUCCCCUUGAUUCAGAAAACAGACAAACACUCACAGCUUCUAAAUAAAACUCAGAAUAAAAGACUUCCUCUUCUGUCACUACCAAUAGUGCAGUGGUAGACCUUCAUCCUCAGAUUAAACAGACAAUGAAAACAGAAGAAAGAACACAACAACAUGUGCAUAUCCUCUUUAGAAGGAGAGCCCUGUAGCCUGAGUAAAAUUACUGUUUCUACUUUGCUAGAAGUUGCUAGUCUCCUCCUGCCCUCCCCGUGGCAGCCCUGCGGUCCUAUACUGACUCUAUUAUAGGGU
rnacentral:lncRNA from 1 species